UACGGAGGAUGCAAGCGUUAUCCGGAAUGAUUGGGCGUAAAGCGUCCGCAGGUGGCUGUGUAAGUCUGCUGUCAAAGAGCGAAGCUCAACUUCGUAAAGGCAGUGGAAACUACACGGCUAGAGUGCGUUCGGGGCAGAGGGAAUUCCUGGUGUAGCGGUGAAAUGCGUAGAGAUGCGGGGGAACACCAGUGGCGAAAGCGACUUUCUGGUCCUUAACUGACGCUGAGGCGCGAAAGCAUGGGGAGCGAACGGG
rnacentral:rRNA from 1 species